rnacentral:rRNA from 1 species
UACGGAGGAUGCGAGCGUUAUCCGGAUUUAUUGGGUUUAAAGGGAGCGCAGGCGGGCGAUUAAGUCAGUUGUGAAAUGCCACGGCUCAACCGUGGACUUGCAGUUAAUACUGGUUGCCUUGAGUGCGGCAGAGGCAGGCGGAAUUCGUGGUGUAGCGGUGAAAUGCUUAGAUAUCACGAAGAACUCCGAUUGCGAAGGCAGCUUGCUGGACCGUUACUGACGCUGAGGCUCGAAAGUGCGGGUAUCAAACAGG